rnacentral:rRNA from 1 species
UCGCCUGUUUAUCAAAAACAUGGUUUCUUGAUAUGUUUAAGAAAUUUAACCUGCCCACUGAAUAAACAUUUGAAGGGCCGCAGUAUUUUGACUGUGCAAAGGUAGCAUAAUCAUUAGUCUUUUAAUUGAAGGCUGGUAUGAAUGGUUGGAUGAGGUAAAUUCUGUUUUAUAUUAAUUUAUUUGAAUUUAGAUUUUAAGUAAAAAGACUUAAAUGUAAUUAAGGGACGAGAAGACCCUAUAGAGUUUAAUAAAUGUGUAGUUAAUUGAGUUAAUAAGGAAUUUUUAAUUAUUGUAAAGUUUAUUUAGUUGGGGUGAUUGGAAAAUAAAAGGAACUUUUCUUUAAUUUUAAUGUUAUAAUUAGUUAUAUGAUCCAUAGUUAAUGAUUAAAAGAUUAAAUUACCUUAGGGAUAACAGCAUAAUCUCUUUUAAAAGUUCAUAUUGAAAAGGGGGAUUGUGACCUCGAUGUUGGAUUAAGAUAAAUUUUGGGUGUAGAUGUUCAAUUAUUAGGUCUGUUCGACCUUUAAAAUCUUACAUGAUCUGAGUUCAAACCGGAGA